CUGAGAUGUGUGGGAAGAACAGCAUACCUCUUGGGGGCUAGAGGCAGGUCCUUCUUCAUCUUUUGAUUCUGGAGCUCUCCUCACUGACCGCAUCACCUGGUGUUUGGGAAGAAUCUAGUCCUGUCUUAUUCCCGUUUCUCCUUGGUACAGAGGCUCAGAUAGAAAUGAGGAAGAAGAAAACAGAUCUGCCUAUUUUUUUAAGAGACAGAGGAAUGGUUUUUUAUUCAUGCUGAUUCAAAUAUUGCAGUUGCUGAUUUACAUAGCCAUAUAUAUAUAUGACUUUUCCUGCAUUCACCGCGCAUGAAAAAGCGCAUGAAUUUUUUUGGAUCCUCAUUUCUUUUGCUUAGUCUAGUUGGCUUGGCCCUGCUGAAUUCAUAGAAAUAAUUACCUGCCCUGAGGCAGUGGCUAGCAGCAGAGGCUACUGAAUCCCAUCACUUCACUAUUUGUCAACUGAGUGACCUUAGCUAAGUUACAAAAUGUCUCAGAGGCUGUUUCCUGACUUCCAAAAUGGGGAUUAAAUGAGGAGAACGCCUGCUCCAAGCCGGACGACGACAUUCUAGACAUCCCGCUGGACGAUCCCGGCGCCAACGCGGCCGCCGCCAAAAUCCAGGCGAGUUUUCGGGGCCACAUGGCGCGGAAGAAGAUAAAGAGCGGAGAGCGCGGCCGGAAGGGCCCGGGCCCUGGGGGGCCUGGCGGAGCUGGGGUGGCCCGGGGAGGCGCGGGCGGCGGCCCCAGCGGAGACUAGGCCAGAAGAACUGAGCAUUUUCAAAGUUCCCGAGGAGAGAUGGAUGCCGCGUCCCCUUCGCAGCGACGAGACUUCCCUGCCGUGUUUGUGACCCCCUCCUGCCCAGCAACCUGCCAGCUACAGGAGCCCCCUGCGUCCCAGAGACUCCCUCACCCAGGCAGGCUCCGUCGCGGAGUCGCUGAGUCCGUGCCCUUUUAGUUAGUUCUGCAGUCUAGUAUGGUCCCCAUUUGCCCUUCCACUCCACCCCACCCUAAACCAUGCGCUCCCAAUCUUCCUUCUUUUGCUUCUCGCCCACCUCUUCCCGCACCCAGCAUGCAGCUCUGCCUCCGCAGCCUCAGUGCGCUUUCCUGCGCGCACUGCGGAGGGCGCCCUAAGCGUCACCCAAGCACACUCACUUAAAGAAAAAACGAGUUCUUUCGUUCUGUGCGCAGCUAAAAGGGGCGCCCUACAUCUCCGUGCCACUCCCGCCCCAGCCUAGCCCCAAGACUUUGGAUCCGGGGCGAGAUGAAGGGAAGAGGGUUGUUUUGGUUUCGGACGACCCUUGCUCUGACCGGAAGAGAAGUCCCUAUCCCACACCUGCCUGUCACGUUCCCUCCCCUUUCCCCAGCGCACUGUUGAGGGCAGCCUCUCCAGCUCUCUUGUUUAUGCAAACGCCGAGCGCCUGGGAGGCUCGGUAGGAGGAGUCUUCCACGGCCCCGCCCCGCCCCUGUCGGUCCCGCCCUCCCCCCCGCCGGGCUCCUGGGGCUGUGGCCGAAAGGUUUCUGAUCUCCGUGUGUGCAUGUGACUGUGCUGGGUUGGAAUGUGAACAAUAAAGAGGAAUGUCCAAGUGUU
rnacentral:lncRNA from 1 species